rnacentral:rRNA from 1 species
AGAGUUUGAUCAUGGCUCAGAUUGAACGCUGGCGGCGUGCUUAACACAUGCAAGUCGAACGUGAAAGGGGCUUCGGCCCUAAGUAAAGUGGCGCACGGGUGAGUAACACGUGGAUAAUCUGCCCUUAUGAUCGGGAUAACAGUCGGAAACGGCUGCUAAUACCGGAUACGCUCAAAAUGAACUUUUUGAGGAAAGGUGACCUCUGCUUGCAAGUUACUGCAUGAGGAUGAGUCCGCGGCCCAUUAGCUAGUUGGUAGGGUAACGGCCUACCAAGGCAACGAUGGGUAGCCGAUUUGAGAGGAUGAUCGGCCACACUGGGACUGAAACACGGCCCAGACUCCUACGGGAGGCAGCA